GGAGCGGUAGCUCAAGUGGCAGAGCAACCCUGCGGGGUUGGUUACGGGUUCGAAUCCCGUCCGUUCAC
rnacentral:tRNA from 1 species